rnacentral:rRNA from 1 species
GACGAGCCACACGAACGUUAUUCGGAAUUACUGGGCUUAAAGGGUGCGUAGGCUGCGCGGAAAGUUGGGUGUGAAAUCCCUCGGCUCAACCGAGGAACUGCGCCCAAAACUGCCGUGCUCGAGGAAGAUAGAGGUAAGCGGAACUUACGGUGGAGCGGUGAAAUGCGUAGAUAUCGGGAGGAACACCUGUGGCGAAGGCGGCCCCCUGGUUGGAUACUGACGCUGAUACGCGAAAGCGUGGGGAGCAAACAGG